rnacentral:lncRNA from 1 species
CUCUCAGAAGCUUGCUGCCAUGUUAUAAAGAAGCUCAGAUGGAUCACUGGAUGAUGAGAAGCCUCAAGGAGAGAUGCCCUAAAGGAUGAGAGGCCAUCUUGAAAGUUCCAGCCCCUGCAGAGCUCCUACCUUAAUGCAGCCACACAAGUGACCACAGCUAUUCCACAAGGAGCAGAACCCAACCAACCCACAAAACUGAGAAAAAUAAUACCUUGUUGUGUUAAGUCACUAAGUUUGAGUGGCUUGUGAUACUGCAAGAGAACUGAAGCAGACCUCUUCAGACAGAUUAAAAUGGGGGACCCUGGCUAUUGCUGGGCUCCUCUGGGAAGAGUCUCCUAAAGAGAUGUCUUAGGCCCCUUUGCCCAAAUGGCUGCAGAGGAACAUCUUACAAGGCUGUUAUAUGAAACGCACAGAUACAACCAUGCAACAAUUGUGAUCAACAAAUAUUUGAUCUCUUGAAGACAGCAUACUGAUGGGUCUUAAUUCUUUAUUCAGCUUACUAUUGCAUGGAGGAACAUCCCUCAAAAUAGUAAGAGCCAUUUAUGACAAACCCACAGCCAAUAUCAUACUGAAUGGGCAAAAAAUGGAAGCAUUCCCCUUGAAAAGCAGCACAAGACAAGGUUGCCCUCUCUCACCACCGCUAUUCAACAUAGUAUUGGAAGUUCUGGCCAGGGCAAUCAGGCAAGAUAAAAAAAAUAAGGCAUAUUCAAAUAGGAAGAGAGGAAGUCAAACUAUCUUUGUUUGCAGAUGACAUAAUCCUGUAUCUAGAAAACCCGAUUAUCUCAGCCCAAAAGCUUCUUAAGCUGAUAAGCAACUUCAGCAAAGUCUCAGGAUACAAAAUCAAUGUGCAAAAAUUGCUAGUAUUCCUAUACACCAACAACAGGCAAGCUGACAGCCAAAUCACAAAUGAACUCCCAUUCACAGUUGCCACAAAAAGAAUAAAUUAUCUAAGAAUACAGCUAACAAGGGAAGAGAAGGACCUCUUCAAGGAGAACUACACACCACUGCUCAAAGAAAUCAGAGAUGACAAAAACAAAUGGAAAACAUUCCAUGUUUAUGGAUAGGAAGAAUCAGUAUUGUAAAAAUGGCCAUAUUGGCCGGGUGAGGUGGCUCAUGCCUGUAAUCCCAGCACUUUGGGAGGCUGAGGCAGGUACAUCAUUAAGGUCAGGAGAUCGAGACCAUCCUGGCUAAUACGGUGAAACCCAGUCUCUACUAAAAACACAAAAAAUUAGCCAGGCGUGGUGCAGCACCUGUAGUCCCAGCUACUUGGGAGGCUGAGGCAGAAGAAUGGCAUGAACCUGGGAGGUGGGGCUUGCAGUGAGCUGAGAUCAUGCCACUGUACUCCAGCCUGGGUGACAGAGCUAGACUCCAUCAAAAAAAAAAAAAGGGCCAUAUUGAUAAUAAAAACAUUUAUAGAUUCAAUGCUAUUCAUAUUAAGCUACCAUUGACAUUCUUCAGAGAAUUAGAAAAAAACUAUUUUAAAAUUCUCAUGGAACCAAAAAAGAGCCCAAAUAGCCAAGGCAAUCUUAGGCAAAAAGAACAAAGCUGGAGCCAUCAUGCUACCUGAUACUACAAGGCUACAGUAACCCAAACAGCAUGGGACCGGUGCAAGAACAGACACAUAGACCAAUGGAACAGAAUAGAGAACCCAGAAAUAAGACUGCACAUCUAUAACUCUCUGAUCUUCGACAAAUCUGACAAAAAUAAGCAAUGGGGAAAGGAUUCCCUAUUUAAUAAAUGGUGCUGGGAGAACUGGCUAGCCAUAUGCAGAAAAUUGAAUCUGGACCCCUUCCUUACACCUCAUACAAAGAUUAACUCAAGAUGGAUUCCAGACUUAAAUGUAAAACCCAAAACUAUAAUAACCCUAGUAGAAAACCUAUCCAAUAUCGUUCAGGACACAGGCAUGGACAAAGAUUUCAUGUUGAAGACACCAAAAGCGAUUGCAAUAAAAGCCAAAAUGGACAAAUGGAAUCUAAUUAAAAUAAAGAGUUUCUGCACAGUAAAAGAAACUAACAGCAGAGUAAACAGACAACCUACAGAAUGGGAGAAAAUUUUUACAACCUGUCCAUCUGACAAAGGUCAAAUAUCCAGCAUCUAUAAGGAACUUAAACAAAUUUACAAGAAAAAAACAACUACAUUAAAAAGUGAGCAAAGGACAUGAACAGACACUUCUAAAAAGGAGACAUACAUGUGGCCAACAAACAUAUGAAAAAAAAACCCAACAUCACUGAUUAUUAGAGAAAUGCAAAUCAAAACCACAAUGGGAUACCAUCUCACACCAGUCAGAAUGGCUAUUAAUAAAAAGUCAAAAAACAGAUGCUGGCGAGGUCGUGCAGAAAAAGGAAUGUUUUUACACUGUUGGUGGGAGUGUAAAUUAGUUCAACCACUGUGGAAGAUAGUGUGGUGAUUCCUCAAAGACCUAGAGGCAGAAAUACCAUUCAGCCCAGCAAUCCCAUUACUGGGUAUGUUCCCAAAGACAUAUAAACUGUUCUGUUAUAAAGAUACAUGCACACAUAUGUUCAUUGCAGCACUAUUCACAAUAACAAAAACAUGGAAUCAACCUAAAUGCCCAUCAUUGAUAGACUGGAUAAAGAAAAUGUGGUACAUGUACACCAUGAAAAAUACUGUGCAGCCAUACAAAGGAAUGAGAUCACAUCCUUUGCAGGGACAUGAAUAGAGCUGGAGGCCAUUAUCCUUAGCAAAUAAAUGCAGAAACAGAAGACCAAAUACCACACGUUCUCACUUAUAAGUGGGAGCUGAAUGAUGAGAAUACAUGGACACAUUGAGGGGAACAACACACACUGGGGCCUGUCAGAGGGUUGGGGGUGGGACCCUGGGUAAUGGGAUGAUCUGUGCAGCAAACCACUAUGGCCUAUGUUUACCUAUGUAACAAACCUGUAUAUCCUGCACAUGUACCCCUGAACUUAAAAGUUGUAUGUUAAAAAAAAUAUGUCCCUCUUUUUCUUCUUUGGCUAAUUUCAUAUUUGACAAUUUCAUAACUUGGUCAGGUUAGAAAAGAGUGUAUCAAUUUUCCUUUGCUGCUGUAAAAUAAUACCACAAGCUUAAUGGCUUAAAACAAAGCCAAUUUAUUUUUACCUUACAGUUCUAUAGGUUAGACAAAACUGGUCUGACACUGGUCUCACUUAGCUAAAAUCAAGAUGUCAGGAGGGCUGUGUUCUUUUCUGGAGGCUCUGGGAGAUAAUCAAUUUCUUUGCUUUUUCCACAUUCUAGAGGCUUCCCACAUUCUGUGGCUCAUGGACCCCUUCCUCCACCUUCAAAGGUAGCAAUGGUGCAUCUUUCUGACCAUUUUUUCUCCCUGAACACAUCCAAUAAAGAUUCUCCAAUUUUAAGGAGGCAGGUAAUUAGAUUAGGCUCCUUUGGAUAUUCCAGGAUAUUCCUG